GAUGAACGCUGGCGGCGUGCCUAAUACAUGCAAGUCGAGCGAAUGGAUUAAGAGCUUGCCCUUAUGAAGUUAGCGGCGGACGGGUGAGUAACACGUGGGUAACCUGCCCAUAAGACUGGGAUAACUCCGGGAAACCGGGGCUAAUACCGGAUAACAUUUUGAACCGCAUGGUUCGAAAUUGAAAGGCGGCUGCGGCUGGCACCUAUGGAUGGACCCGCGUCGCAUUAGCUAGUUGGUGAGGUAACGGCUCACCAAGGCAACGAUGCGUAGCCGACCUGAGAGGGUGAUCGGCCACACUGGGACUGGGACACGGCCCAGACUCCUACGGGAGGCAGCAGUAGGGAAUCUUCCGCAAUGGACGAAAGUCUGACGGAGCAACGCCGCGUGAGUGAUGAAGGCUUUCGGGUCGUAAAACUCUGUUGUUAGGGAAGAACAAGUGCUAGUUGAAUAAGCUGGCACCUUGACGGUACCUAACCAGAAAGCCACGGCUAACUACGUGCCAGCAGCCGCAGUAA
rnacentral:rRNA from 1 species